ACUUAUGGCCAUACCACUCUGACAAAGCCUGAUUCAUCUGACCUCGGAAGCAAAGCAGAGUUGGGCCUGGUUAGUACUUGGUUGGGAGACUGAAUGGGAAUACUAGGUGCUGUAAGCU
ensembl:rRNA 5S_rRNA 5S ribosomal RNA